UACGAAGGGGACUAGCGUUGUUCGGAAUCACUGGGCGUAAAGCGCACGUAGGCGGAUUCGUAAGUUAGGGGUGAAAUCCCGGGGCUCAACCUCGGAACUGCCUUUGAUACUGCGGGUCUCGAGUCCGAUAGAGGUGGGUGGAAUUCCUAGUGUAGAGGUGAAAUUCGUAGAUAUUAGGAAGAACACCAGUGGCGAAGGCGGCUCACUGGCCCGGUACUGACGCUGAGGUGCGAAAGCGUGGGGAGCAAACAGG
rnacentral:rRNA from 1 species